UUUUUUAAACUUAAGUUAAUAGCACGAUCCAUUACGCACUUCCACAACCAUAUAGGCGACAAAAAUAAAGAUUAAAACAAAACAAAAAUAAAAUAAAAAAUAGAAAAUAAAAAUUAGUGAAUGCAAACGAAACAGAUAAAUGGAUUCUCAUGUCUAAGCUAAAUUUUAAAUCACCGGCAAAUCACAUCUUCAAAUAAAUAAUAAAAUCUUCUCGAUAUCAAAUUAACUAUGAAACGCGAAAAGACUCCCGAAUCCUAUAGCACCGAAGAGAAUAAAAUUUAAAUCUACUCGCAACACGAAAUCCAACAAAAACAUAGUGCAACUAAACAAAUAAAAUCGCUCAAGCUCAAGAUCAGAUCAUUGCUAGAUUAAUCACAUGACUGUUAAAAGACAAACAUGAGCUACUGUUUCGAUCGAUUUUUGGUCUUUAAGUAUUUAAAGUAAAUAAUAAGUGAUGACCUAAGACAAAUAAUAGAGGAGAAAACAAUAAAAGUGGAACAAAGCAUGUCAAUAAAACUCGAUAAUGGGUUCGGAGAUAGUUCAUACAACAAAACGAAGGAGGCAAGGAUUAGCACCCGAAUCAAAUAGAACAAAUGAAAUACGAUUUGACUGAAAAUAAAGCUACUUAAGAACCCAAAAGAAAAUGCAACCAAACAAAGUUACAAGACUAGAAUAGCAAAUAACUCUUACGGAAGAAAAGAAAAACAAACAGACCUAACAAAUGACCAAGCUCAACCAUCAAAAUUCUCCUACUUAAAGUAGCAUGCAUAUAUACUUGAACGGAUAAAAGUCGAUUAAAAAAAAGGGGAGGGGGGGUGGUAACAAGAAUAAACUACAUUAUAGGAAAUAUGUGACCAACUACUAACAUUAAACAAUGGCAAAUCAAAGGAUGAGAAAGGGAACACGUUUCACUGUAGGCAAAUAAUAUAUCUUAUGCAAUGACCAAGCUAACUCUACAAAUGUAACUUAAUGAUGCUAAUUCAUUAUGCCAAAAGGCAGAAAUUUUAAACACAACAGCUUGCCAAGCCAUUUUAGAAGACAACGUUGUCACAUUCAAAUAACUAAACAUGACAAAGGUGUUAUUAAAUAAGCAACAACCAGCUGUGCUAAAACACAUGUCACACUUCGAGAUUCAAGUUGGACCGAGAAUAUAAUUUUAAGCGAUUGACAUUCCGGACAGCAACCUACUGCUGGUCUUAAUCCUCCUAUUUAGACAAGAAAAGCGAGGGAAAACCAAGUAUAACCUCUCAAGAAGGCUACUAAGGACGAACCUAUAAACAGACACAUAAGCAAGAAAUAAUUUUUUCAAGAAUAAAGUCAUAGAGGAACUAAAACGAAAAUUACUAAUUCAUAAAAAAGGGCAAGAGGGAACAGAUAGUGAUACAAAACAAAGGAACAAAAUCUCAUAUUUUUAGAUAAACAGAAACUAAACCAUUUGGAUGGCCAUCUUAUCCAAACUCAACAAAAUACUGCAGAUAAGAACAUGUACUACGGAUGACCAGAGAAAAAAUAAAAAAUAUAUAUAAAAGAUCAAAGAUCGGACAUGCUCACAAAUAACGCCAAACUAACUCCAACAUAGAAUUAAUUUAUACACAGAUAACACUCAUGUAGGGAGGCAAGUUAUUACCAGCUCAAGACUCAUCAACCGAAACUUGACAUAUAGAGACCAAGACAAAAUCAACACAUAAAUGGAGCGCAAGACACAACCUAUAAUACGUCAUAAGCAGAACAACAUAGGAGAAACUAGAUUUAAAUGAGAACAAGAAAGGAUUUACCUCUUUCUGGUCAGCGAAAUGAGACAAUACGAGCAGACGAGCAGCGAUUCUUCCACCAACUACUUCGGAAACUCGAACGACCAGCCAAGAAUUUCGAGCUGACUUUUAACAAGGAGAACUUGCUUCUUCGAAUUUAAAGGAAAAGAAUCGUCUAAACCUUCUCCGAUAUGAUAUUUCGCUCAAAGUAGUUCCAACUCCAAAUCUUGAAUCCCAAAUUUUCAACUAAAAGUAAAAUCUCAAAAAAUAAAUUUUUCUCCCCCCUUUUACAGUGAACAACAAACAAAUAUAUAUAGAAGGGGAUAACUAGGGUUCCGAAUUUAGGAGGGAAAAGGCCGAAAUCCGGAUAGAAAAUGAGGGCCCAUAUUCGAAAUUCAAACUCCCCAAAUCUUUCACCAUUUGAGAUAAACAUCUUUUUCUGAAUUUUCCGCCCCAUUCCGAAAGAGGAAGGGAAAGAAAACGUGUGUCUGCCCCUCUACUGCUACGAUAUUAAUGGGGAUAAGGACGUUUUGAAGAAGAAACCAAAGGGAAGCAGU
rnacentral:lncRNA from 1 species